rnacentral:tRNA from 1 species
CAAGGUUUAACAUAAUAUAAUGUAUCUCACUUACAUUGAGAAUAUGGUUGAUUUUAAUCAGCUUUGA